rnacentral:rRNA from 1 species
UGGGAACCUUUUCUAUGGUUCGGAAUAGCUCAGGGGAAAACUUGGGGUAAUACCGGAUAAGCCCUUCGGGGAAAGAUUUAUCGCCAUUGGAUGGGCCCGCGUCGGAUUAGCUAGUUGGUGAGGUAAACGGCUCACCCAAGGCAACGAUCCGUAGCUGGUCUGAGAGGAUGAUCAGCCACACUGGGACUGAGACACGGCCCAGACUCCUACGGGAGGCAG